rnacentral:lncRNA from 1 species
GUCAGCUUCUUCUGCGGGCUCUGCAGGAUGGCCAUGGUGAUGAGCGCGAUCCCGUCGUCGCCCUCGCCCACCACAUCGAUGUCCACGUCCUCGGCCGUCAGCACCGUCUGGCCGGACAUGUCGCUGGCGCUGCCGCCGCCGGAGAGGGUCAUCCCUCCUCGGGAUCCAGCGGGAGGCGGGGCCACGUGACCGUGCGUGACGUCAGGGCCGCGGCCGAGCCGGCCAAACUCAAGUUGGUUCAGGGAAUUGUCAACAAAGGGACGAGAGACGCGCAACUCCGCUCCGCACUGUGCGCCAGCAUCCCCGGGGCACGGAGGGCGCUGCGGCCCGCCCGGAGACCCCCCCACCCAGGCUGGAUCCGGGCCCUGGGGCCCAGGGAGCGGGUGUGGACAAAUCCUCCAAGAUUUAACUUCCAAGAAAACCGGCGGCGGAGCGGGUGGAGGAGGCGAGGAUGUGUGGCCAAUGCACGCGGAGUGCAAGGCCGCCUAGUUGGGAGCCGCAAGAGCCUGCCUGGUGUGGCAGGCACACGGAACCCAAUCCCUGUCUGUCCGCUGCGGCCUGGGAGGGGAGCGCCGGCCUCACCAGAGGAAGGAGCACGAGGGGAGGAGUUCCGAGAGGAAAUAAUUAGUGAAAUAUUUGCAGAAGAUGCUGGGAUGUGGAUUUAAUUCCGGAUGGACAGUGGUGCUUCUGAUUCCCUCAGUCUGUUUCCCCACCCACGAUCUCCUCUUUCCUUGGCCUAGACACACCAAAAAUAAUUCAAUAAAAUAAAAAUAAAAAUUUAAAAAUCUGUAAACUUGCUUCAUUACAGGCAUUGAGACACACAGAUUGACUUUCAUCCCCAUUAGACAGUUUCCCAGGAUAUAACACUACUCAUCUGAGGCUGGGAGCAGGGUAGGGGGUGGUGACA